ensembl:snRNA LOC120093926 U6 spliceosomal RNA
GCGCUCAUUUCAGCAGCUCAUGUACUAAUCUUAGCACGAUAGCAUGGCCCCUGCGUAAAGCUGACACACAAAUCCAUGAAGCGUUCCCUAUAUUU